UACGUAGGGUGCGAGCGUUGUCCGGAAUUACUGGGCGUAAAGAGCUCGUAGGUGGUUUGUCGCGUUGUUCGUGAAAACUCACAGCUCAACUGUGGGCGUGCGGGCGAUACGGGCAGACUAGAGUACUGCAGGGGAGACUGGAAUUCCUGGUGUAGCGGUGGAAUGCGCAGAUAUCAGGAGGAACACCGGUGGCGAAGGCGGGUCUCUGGGCCGAUACUGGCGCUGAGGAGCGAAAGCGUGGGGAGCGAACAGG
rnacentral:rRNA from 1 species